rnacentral:tRNA from 1 species
GGUGGGUAUAGCUCAGUUGGUUAGAGCGCCAGAUUGUGGCUCUGGAGGUCGUGGGUUCGAAUCCCACUAUUCACCU